CGCUCAACCCAUUGAGCCACCCAGGCGCCCCAACAAAAGUGACACUGCUGGCCACAAGAGCUGGGAUGUGGUCACAGAAAUAUGAAAAAUUACAGAGGAAAACAGAAGUCACUCUGGAAUCUCAUCUAGGCGAGCUCUAUUUUGAAAGAAUUAAAAGCAGCCAAGAAAGUAUACCGGCUCUCCAAGGAAAAGAGGCCCUCAAAGCUCAGAGGCUCACACAGGAGCCUGUUUCAUCAGCGAUGAGGAAACCGCGCACAGACCAUCCAGGGGCCUCCUCGCGGAGCCAGGAGAGGAGCUCUAAGUGCGUCCGAUGCCUGUGGAUUUUGUGUUGAAGCCAAUGUGUUCGGAUUUGAAAAGCCAUCUUGUGAUAACACUCUCGGCAACAACAGGACUCACGGUGGAGAGAAAGAGGAUUGGCCGCUAGGCUUUUACCUCCAGAAACACGACGGCUGAAGUUCCAGGACUAAAGGAAGCGUGAUGACAGAAGACACAGUGAAGCAUCAAGGGAGACACAGGAGGAAGAACUUAAGGAGGAGAUACAGAGCGAGGGGAUACAGAGGCAGAAGAAACAGCGUGCAGGUGCCGAGACCGCUAGCCCAGGGAAAGAUGAGCGACGUCGAGGGCUGCGGAUGGGGACGAACACGAUGUCACGGAGUUGAGCGCCUAGUAAGGCAGCCACAGGUGACCCCUGAGGACAAUUUGUCAUAGGGGCUGGUCCAGGGUGCAGACCACAGGGGACUGCGGACAAACCAGGAGGGCAGACGGAGACCAGCAGAGACACUGUUAUCAAGAAGUGUGCUAAUCAAGCCACCGAAACAGCUGCUUAUCUCGUAUCCUGAAGUUCACCGGACUUAAACCAAUAAAAACACCUCCCCCCAUGCAUGCCCUCACUCCUCGCUUCUCCACGGGCACAGACCUCAGUGACCAAAAAUAACCGACGACAGAGCCUUCCAACCUCUCUCUCCCAACACCCCCCACGGUGCCUGGUUUUGGCUAAGACACCUUCUAGAACUAGUCAACAGCCACCUGCUAUCAACGCUCAGCAUCUAAAUUCGAUUGUCCCGCCUCAGGUAAAUGCCAGUUACCUGUUUAUCAGAGGGAAAAAUGAAACCAGACGCUACAAUGUGUCAGCUGAACAGGAACAGAAGCGCAAACUCAGGUCAGAUACCUUUGGGUGAACUAUAUCAUUGAUCCUCAACUGUCAGAAAGAGAACUUUCAACUUCUACUUCCUUCAAAAGCAUGC